CCUGAAGGAUCAAGAAGGUUGGGUCUGAUGAAGCACAUGCUUGCUGAUACGCUCCUCCUAGACAAAGGAGUGGAGAGAGCAGCCCUUAUUGGAGAGGACCACAGGGCUCACUGUACUACUCAACAUUU